rnacentral:rRNA from 1 species
GACGAACGCUGGCGGCGUGCCUAAUACAUGCAAGUCGAACGCUGAAGGAGGAGCUUGCUCUUCUGGAUGAGUUGCGCACGGGUGAGUAACGCGUAGGUAACCUGCCUGGUAGCGGGGGAUAACUAUUGGAAACGAUAGCUAAUACCGCAUAACAGUAGAUGUUGCAUGACAUUUGCUUAAAAGGUGCAAUUGCAUCACUACCAGAUGGACCUGCGUUGUAUUAGCUAGUUGGUGGGGUAACGGCUCACCAAGGCGACGAUACAUAGCCGACCUGCGAGGGUGAACCGCCAAACUGGGAAUGAGAAACGGCCCAGGAUUCUAAGGGAGGGAGCAGGAGGGGAACUUCGGCAAUGGGCGGAAGGCUGACCGAGCAAAGGCGGGGGAGGGAAGAAGGGUUUCGGGUCGUAAAGCUCGGUUGUAAGAGAAGAAAGAGUGGGGGAGGGGAAAGUUCACACUGUGACGGUAUCUUACCAGAAAGGGACGGCUAACUACGUG